UUGAAGACGCGCUUCACAAGCAGGACAUUGAUUUUCUGUUUGAUCUCAUCUGUUGUCUUCUUCAGGGCUGCUAUCAGCGCACAGAUAUCAGGUACACGACAUUCCACCGUUACUUGGAAGACAUCAUCAAUUACCGAUGGGAGCUGGAGGAAGGGAAGCCCAACCCUUUGAAGCAGGCUGUAUUCCAGGAACUGCCCCUCCGCACCCAGGUGGAGCUCCUUCAGCGACUCUGCGACUACAGGCUGGACGCUGCUGAUGUGUUUGAUCUGUUAAAGGGCCUGGAUGCCGACAGCUUGCGGGUGGAGCCUUUGGGAGAAGAUGGUGAUGGUGCUCUCUACUGGUAUUUCUACGGAACACGCUUGUACAAGGAGCAGCCACUGAAAGGGAAGGGGAGGACAGC